rnacentral:rRNA from 1 species
GAUGAACGCUGGCGGCGUGCCUAAUACAUGCAAGUCGAGCGAAUGGAUUAAGAGCUUGCUCUUAUGAAGUUAGCGGCGGACGGGUGAGUAACACGUGGGUAACCUGCCCAUAAGACUGGGAUAACUCCGGAAAACCGGGGCUAAUACCGGAUAACAUUUUGAACCGCAUGGUUCGAAAUUGAAAGGCGUCUUCGGCUGUCACUUAUGGAUGGACCCGCGUCGCAUUAGCUAGUUGGUGAGGUAACGGCUCACCAAGGCAACGAUGCGUAGCCGACCUGAGAGGGUGAUCGGCCACACUGGGACUGAGACACGGCCCAGACUCCUACGGGAGGCAGCAGUAGGGAAUCUUCCGCAAUGGACGAAAGUCUGACGGAGCAACGCCGCGUGAGUGAUGAAGGCUUUCGGGUCGUAAAACUCUGUUGUUAGGGAAGAACAAGUGCCAGUUGAAUAAGCUGGCACCUUGACGGUACCUAACCAGAAAGCCACGGCUAACUACGUGCCAGCCGCCGCAGUAA